UGUUCUGUGGCUUAGUUGGUUAAAGCGCCGGUCUAGCGAAUACGGAGUCGUGGGUUCGAAUUCCACCAGAACGC
rfam:Aedes albopictus isolate Foshan contig120415, whole genome shotgun sequence.